UGCAAGGUAAACAGAUGAAGUGUUACAAAAGAGGCACUAAUGUGAGCCACUAGUUAAGUCAGAUACAGCUACGACAGAAGAUGACACUCAAUGACUGCAUUUCAAGUGUUGAAGUUCAGGUAUCUACAAUGCAGAUGCCAAUGCCCCAGCUUUCUGAAAUCUUUUUAGAAACAGUGAAGGAAACUGCGGACAAGACAUUUCAUCCAAAUGUGGACAUCCAAAACAAGCCAAAUGCACUGUACCUAUUUCUGUCACUAAAGGUCCUACACAGAGAGGCUCACUCUGCAGUUUGCACACUUCCUUUGCUCAUGCUACAUCACUGUGCUUUCAUCAAGUUCAUCUGAACUCUUCAAUUUCAUGUGAUCUCCUCUGUGGAGCUCUGGCCAGUACAAACAUCAGCUUGUCAGGCUACCUCUCCUUUGGAAAUAAUUAGACAAGUAAUGAAGGAGACAAGUAACAUGAUCUGUGGAAAUCUGCUGUUUCUUACCUACUAUCAUAAAUAUCCACUGCUCCACUGUAUCUAACAUAGGAAUCACAGAAUCACAGAAUGGUUUGUGUUGGAAGGAGCCUCAAAGAUCCUUUAGUUUUAAAGCUGCUGCCAUGGACUCUUUGCCACCCAUCAGAUCAGGCUGCUCAGGGCCUCAUCCAACCUGGUCUUGAAGACUUCCAGGAAGGAGGCACCCAGAACCUCUUUGGGCAGCUUGCUCUAGUUCCUGACCAUCCUCUCAGUGAAAAAUUUUCACAGAAUUAUCAAGGUUGGAAAAGACCUAGAAGAUCAUCCAGUCCAUUUUCCACUGACAUCUAAUCUCAGUCUCUCCUCUUUUAGUUUAAAACCAUUCCCCUUUGUCCUAUCACUACCCAGUCAUGUAAAAAGUUGAUUUCCCUCCUGUUUAUAAGCAUGAUAUUUAGGAAUGCAUCAGUUCAUUGUUUACUGGGGAAGCUAGUUUACAAAGACGCCUUAACUUGGAUUUGUCUACAGUGCACAGAAAUCACAGUAACAACUGUUACUAAGGAGUAAAGAGACUGAGGAAAUCCAAUAAUUCCACAUUGAUUCUUUCCUACUAAAACACAAAUACUGUUUCAAGUUCCCAGAUUCUGCUCUUUGGCAUGAUGCUUACUGCAUGUAGAUAGAACUAACUCAAAAGCUGUUCAUGGAAACCCAGUGUGUGGUACUUCAAACUCUGGGGGAGUAAGAGGAGACAUCCCAGCUUUUUAACCUACAGAAGGUGACAGCCAAGCCCUCUGAGAAAAUCUUAAUGUGAAUUCUGGAGGGAGAAGACUAUUUUCUAAAAGAAAGAACAUUUUCUUGGCAUUUUUGGAAGAAAACAAAAUAAGGGAGGGAAAGAUGUAGCUGCCAAGAAUCAUCAGAUCACCCUGCUUUCAGAGACAAGCAAAUAGUUUCUGACAAAGCUUCAGAAACAGCACACUGGAAACCAGAAGCAGCCCAAGCCUGAUGGGUAAAUUCCCUACCACACCUCUUCUGAACAAACCUUCCCAAGUGAAUAAUAGAAGAUGCUAGGAAUAUAGAGAUGCUAUGUAUCAAAACAUUUUGAAUUGUAAAGAUGCUUAAAUUUCCAUACUCUUAUUAUGAACUGCUCUGAUGACUGUUUGGGUGCUGUUGGAAACUGGUCCCCACACAGAUCAUCUAAUGCAUACCCAUCUGUAACAUUACAGGGAGAAAAACUGAGAUUUAGGCAGAGAAUGGAUGAACCAUCAUGUUUAAAGUUAUAUCCUGAGUGGAUCUGACAUUACUGAUAUAGCAGAGAUGUCAAUAAAAAGAUAAAG
rnacentral:lncRNA from 1 species